ACCUGGUUGAUCCUGCCAGUAGUCAUAUGCUUGUCUCAAAGAUUAAGCCAUGCAUGUCUAAGUAUAAACUGCUUUAUACUGUGAAACUGCGAAUGGCUCAUUAAAUCAGUUAUAGUUUAUUUGAUGGUACCUACUUACUCGGAUACCCGUAGUAAUUCUAGAGCUAAUACGUGCGCACAUCCCGACUUCUGGAAGGGACGUAUUUAUUAGAUAAAAGGCCGACCGGAUUUUUCCGACUCGCGGUGACUCAUGAUAACUUCACGAAUCGCAUGGCCUCGUGCCGGCGAUGUUUCAUUCAAAUUUCUGCCCUAUCAACUUUUGAUGGUAGGAUAGAGGCCUACCAUGGUGGUAACGGGUGACGGAGAAUUAGGGUUCGAUUCCGGAGAGGGAGCCUGAGAAACGGCUACCACAUCCAAGGAAGGCAGCAGGCGCGCAAAUUACCCAAUCCUGACACAGG
rnacentral:rRNA from 1 species